GUGGGACCCCCCAGCUCCCCCGCUGAGCCCCGGGUUCCUCGGCAGCGGCUGCAGAGCCUGGCGGUUCCCCUCUCCACGGUGGCUCUCUCUGCCUGGGAUGGUAGAUAAGCCAUGGGCACCCCUCUCGCGGGCUGGGAGGGGUGCGGGGUGUCUCUAAACGCCCCAGAAGCCCGGGGAGGGGGUGUGUGUUUAUAUUUAACUAACAGCACCAACAUGGCACUCCCUUUCCAAGCCCCUUUCCCGCUGCGUUUCCUCGCUCAGCCAUGCCUCCCCGCUCAUCUGAGUUAUGGGGUAGCCCCAGCCCCCCGAGGUGGGGAUGCCUGGGAGGAAUAACGCCUCCCAAAACCCUCAAGCAUGACGUUUCCAAGGAGAAGUGUGGGGAAGAAGCUGUAUUUGCUGUGAGCUCGCCCCAUGGGUUCAUGCUGAAGAGGGUUGUCUCAGUCAGGGUGCACCAGGAGGGUGUCUGCAGACACCCCCUUGUCCAGUGGGAGCGGGGAGAAAGGUCCCACAGGAGCCGCCCAUCUCCCCGACGAGCGAGGUGGGUGGGCUUCGGAUGAGCAGGAUGGAGGGGUUAUCAGGGUGCCCGUUAAAAAUGAUUUGCUUUCAAGGUAAUGAAGGAAAAGUGCGCUGGGAGCAGCUGUUUCUUAUCUCAGACGAGCGCGAUGAAGCCCAGGCAGAAGAGGUUGCAGACCAUGGUGUUGAAGAAGGACCAGAGCACAAAGUCCUGGGGGUUAGGGACAGGCUCUGGCUGAACAGAAGAGGUGAUGGUGGGGCCGAAGGCGGUGGCUGGGGAACGUGCCCCGUUCCUGCCGUAGGGCUGCAUGUUGAUGCUGACGGACUGGGGGAAGUUCUCCAUGGCAGCCCGGCACCGGCAAGGAGCAGAGACACAGGUUCGGCAUCCAUGAUGAGGUCUUGCAGCCGUGAUGACGUCUUGUGGCUGCCAAAAGAAGGUUGAGGGGCGGAAAAAGAAAGAAGAAAGCGUCAAGAAAGUCCCAGGGAGGAAAAACUCAUCUGAAUCAAAAAAACACCAAGGCACGGAGCUACAAAGUAUGUGGGUUUUGAAAACAUCAGUAUCCUUCCUGCUCGCUGGCCGGCUCCUGGAAGCUGAGUGAGGCUGAUAAAGGGAAACCCAGCCCUGAUAUUUUUCUGACAAAUGGGUUUUAUCCUGCUCAGGAAGAGCGGAGAGUUUGUGUCAGGAGGAGGGCAAAGGCAUUCGUCACCUGCACUCACUGCUGUGUGGGUUUUCUGGCCAUCGUGGUAAUUUGGGUGCAGAUCUGAAAGUCCCAGAUCUGAAAGUCCUGGCCCCUGACAUCACUUGUCCCACACGCACAGGAAAUUAAAGACUUUUUUU